rnacentral:piRNA from 1 species
UCACUUAAAAUUUGUUGGUGAGAAAGGU